UCAAGUGUCGUAAGAGCAUCUGGUGGAUGCCUUGGCGCUGAGAGGCGAUGAAGGACGUGGUACGCUGCGAUAAGCCUUGGGGAGCUGCGAACGAGCUUUGAUCCAGGGAUCUCCGAAUGGGGAAACCCCCCUUCGACCCUUUGUAUUGUGACGGCAUCCGAGAGAGCGAUCUUGGGGGUGGCGUUGCACUACGGAGGGUCAGAUGAAGGGAUUAGAUCCUGAAUACAUAGGGGUUUAAGGCGAACCCGGGGAACUGAAACAUCUAAGUACCCGGAGGAAAGGACAUCAAACGAGACUCCGUUAGUAGUGGCGAGCGAACGCGGACCAGGCCAAUGCCAACCUGAUCGUCACCGGAACCGUCUGGAAAGUCGGGCAUGACGGGUGAUAGCCCCGUACGGAACAGCGUGAUGGUUGGAUAUGAGUAGGGCGGGACACGUGCAAUCCUGUCUGAACAUGGGGGGACCACCCUCCAAGCCUAAGUACUCCUCAGCGACCGAUAGUGAACCAGUACCGUGAGGGAAAGGUGAAAAGCACCCCGACGAGGGGAGUGAAACAGUUCCUGAAACCGGAUGCUUACAAACAGUCGGAGCCCAAGGUUCGUCCUGGGUGACGGCGUACCUUUUGUAUAAUGGGUCAGCGACUUAAAGUAACGAGCAAGCUUAAGCCGAUAGGUGGAGGCGCAGCGAAAGCGAGUCUGAACAGGGCGUUUUUUAGUUCGUUGCUUUAGACCCGAAACCGGGUGAUCUAGCCAUGAGCAGGUUGAAGGUGCGGUAACACGCACUGGAGGACCGAACCGGUGCCUGUUGAAAAAGUCUCGGAUGACUUGUGGCUAGGGGUGAAAGGCCAAUCAAACUCGGAAAUAGCUGGUUCUCCGCGAAAGCUAUUUAGGUAGCGCCUCGCGUGAAUCCCCCAGGGGGUAGAGCACUGGAUGGGCUAGGGCCGCCCACAGCGGUACCAAACCUAACCAAACUCCGAAUACCUGGGAGGAGUGCGCGGGAGACACACGGCGGGUGCUAACGUCCGUCGUGGAGAGGGAAACAACCCUGACCUACAGCUAAGGCCCCCAAUUCGUGGCUAAGUGGGAAAGGAUGUGGGAAUCCCAAAACAACCAGGAGGUUGGCUUAGAAGCAGCCAUCCUUUAAAGAAAGCGUAACAGCUCACUGGUCUAAACAAGGGUUCCUGCGCCGAAAAUGUAACGGGGCUCAAGCCACGAGCCGAAGCUUAGGGUGCAUCGCAAGAUGCGCGGUAGCGGAGCGUUCCGUAAGUCUGCGAAGGCGGACCCGUGAGGGCUGCUGGAGAUAUCGGAAGUGCGAAUGCUGACAUGAGUAACGACAAACAGUGUGAAAGACACUGUCGCCGAAAGUCCAAGGGUUCCUGCGUAAAGUUAAUCUUCGCAGGGUUAGCCGGCCCCUAAGGCGAGGCCGAAAGGCGUAGUCGAUGGGAAGCACGCUUAAUAUUCGUGCGCCAGUGAGAGGUGACGGAUCCUUAUCGUCGUUCGAGCUUAUCGGAUUGCUCGGGCGGCUUCCGGGUCCCAGGAAAUAGCCCUCACAUCAGACCGUACCCGAAACCGACACAGGUGGACUGGUAGAGUAUACCAAGGCGCUUGAGAGAACUAUGUUGAAGGAACUCGGCAAUUUACCUCCGUAACUUCGGGAUAAGGAGGCCUUCCGUUUGGGCAACCAGGCGGGAGGGGCACAGACUAGGGGGUGGCGACUGUUUACCUAAAACACAGGACUCUGCGAAGUCGCGAGACGACGUAUAGGGUCUGACGCCUGCCCGGUGCCGGAAGGUUAAGAGGAGAGGUUCACGCUUUGAAUCGAAGCCCCGGUAAACGGCGGCCGUAACUAUAACGGUCCUAAGGUAGCGAAAUUCCUUGUC
rnacentral:rRNA from 1 species